rnacentral:rRNA from 1 species
AUUGAACGCUGGCGGCAUGCCUUACACAUGCAAGUCGAACGGCAGCGGGGACUUCGGUCCGCCGGCGAGUGGCGAACGGGUGAGUAAUGUAUCGGAACGUACCAUUCAGUGGGGGAUAACUAUCCGAAAGGAUAGCUAAUACCGCAUAUUCUGUGAGCAGGAAAGCAGGGGAUCGCAAGACCUUGCGCUGAUUGAGCGGCCGAUAUCAGAUUAGCUAGUUGGUGAGGUAACGGCUCACCAAGGCUACGAUCUGUAGCGGGUCUGAGAGGAUGAGCCGCCACACUGGGACUGAGACACGGCCCAGACUCCUACGGGAGGCAGCAGUGGGGAAUUUUGGACAAUGGGCGCAAGCCUGAUCCAGCCAUGCCGCGUGAGUGAAGAAGGCCUUCGGGUUGUAAAGCUCUUUCGGCCGGGAAGAAAUCGCAUCAGCUAAUACCUGGUGUGGAUGACAGUACCGGAAUAAGAAGCACCGGCUAACUACGUGCCAGCCGCCGCCGUAACAC